rnacentral:lncRNA from 10 species
GGGGCGGCCUGGGACUCGGGGGCGGGGUCAGUCAUAUAAGGCUGUGCCCAGCGCUUUUGGAAGCAGUAAGUCCAGCCCGAGGCUAAGGAGGUGUUAACCACCGAAGGGAGGUAGAAUGUUUUUCCCCACCAGAGGAGGCAGCGACCACGUCUCCUCUAUGGAGGCAUUCAAGAGCCGUCCAGCUGAAGCAGCAUCACUGUCUGAGCUCGGAAGGCACAAUCCACAUAGGUCUGCAUGGUCCACCGAGCUGCAUACCCACGGGGCCAGCGGGAGGUGGGCAGCUGCUGGGCUCUCUUCUGAAGCAGACAGGAUCUCACUCUGUUGCUGAGGCUGGAUCACAGCUCCCUGCAACCUUGAACUCUCCCUCAAGCAAUUCUCCCCACUCUGCCUUCCAAAGCACUAGCAUUAUAGGCCUAAGCCACCACUCCCAUCCACUGUAGUGUAAACUGUCUCCUUCAAUGUUUCCAAUAGUUGCGGAGCAGAUCAGAUAAGGGUUCUUCCUGUCUGUUGCUUCAAGUUUCAUUCUCUCUUUAAACAAUACAAGGUUGGCUUCCAUGGUUCCUUCUUAAAGAAUGUUGAAGGUGUGUCUUCAGAUUCAUUUAGUGUUCGUGGAACCCCAGGGAAAGCUGAUGUAAAAACCUCUUUUUUCUCCCAUAUGUCUCAAAAAGUUGUAUUUUCUGGGUCCAAGGGAUCUGCAAGCCUCCUAAAGGCAUUUCCAUUGUCACUACCACCAGGUGUGAACUGUAAUCUGGCACGUAUAGUUCCAAGAACUGUCAUAAUAGAUGCUGAAGAAACAUUGUGAAGUUAACUCGCUGUUACCAACUGUGAAGUCAUUAGCUAGAGGAAUCUUGGGCGGUCUGAAAUCUGAGAUACUGUGGAAAGAACAGAAAGAUCCUGUAUCUUUCCUAUAAUUGUUCUACUGGAAGUUGUCAUUUUACACAGGAGACAUUCUGUUUUAUUUAUUUUCUUUUGAGACAGGGUCUCACUCUGUCGCCCAGGCUGGAGUGCAGUGUUGUUACCACAGGUCACUGGUGCCUCCACUGCCUGAGGACUGCUCAAGCAAUCCUCCUGCCUCAGUCCCCUGAGGAGCUGGGGCCACAGGCCUGCACCACCAUGCCUGGCUAAUUAUUUUUAUUUGUAGAGACAAAGUCUAUCUUGCCUAGGCUGAUCUCGAACUCCUGGGCUCAAGUAAUCCUCCCGCGGUGGCUUCUCAAAGUGCUUGGGAUUACAGAUGGUCUUGCUCUGUCACCCAGUCUGGAAUGCAGUGGUGCCAUCAUAGCUCACUACAGCCUGAGCUGUACUGAGCUCGAGGGAUCUUCCCGUCUCCGCCUCCUAAGCAGCUGGGACUACAGGUAAUGGAAGUGGGCAGAGAAUGAUCCUUUCCCUAGGCUCCAGUGUGUAAGAAUUAAAGAAAGAGGAAAGAAACACAAUGGCUUGAUGGUCGAGGACAGGUUUAUUUUAAAGAAAACAAACCCAAGAGUGGCUUCUGGCUGAGUUAGAUCAGAGAAGAGAAGUGAUUUUCUUGAAAUGCAUGAGGCUGGAAAGGGAGCUGGCACUUAAAGUGGCGGUGUUUGUCCGAGAGGAUGGUGCUCCUGCUCUGUCACAGUGGGCAUGGGGAUUCAGGCCACUGCCACCGAAUUUCAAGAGCCCAAGCACAGAGCCCAGAACUAAAUUGUGAGGGUUUAAAAAAAAAAAAAGCUUUAUUGAAGUAUAAUUGACAUACAAUAAACUUGAAUAUUUAAAGUGUA